UCUCAGGAUUUCCAAAGGACACAGUCUCCAGAUAAGGCUCUUUGCACAAGCUCAUUCAGCAUGAGAUCAGCGGCUCCCCUCUUGCUCCUUUUCAUUCUGGCUCUCAGUGAUCAAGCACAUUGUCAGAACUUUACUGAAUUUGAAAGGAAACACAUGCUCCCAAUUCAGUUCAAUACCAAGGAUGUACGUGCUUGGAGGAAGCAUCUAUUGGACAAUAAACUCUGUGGAAGAACUGAAACACAAUCGUUCAUCAAGAGCCAUGUGAAAAAUAUAAAAAAAAUCUGUACUGGCUCUGGUAAAAUAAAAAAUAACUAUACCGAAAGUACAGAUCUCUUUGAAGUGUACAUUGUUAAAAGCACUCAGGGAAUACAACCAAUGUGUAUCAUUCGAAAAUGUACUUCAGGCAAAUAUAAUGUUAUUGUUAAAUGUGAGGGGAAUCUACCUGUGCAUUAUAACGGUCAACAUAUUGAUAAGAACAAAAGUCCUCAGCCUUGCUUUAAAAUGAGCAUGAUCUGAUUUCAUCACAGUGAGGAUCUGAAGGAGGAGGCUUUGAAAUGUUGCUUUUAACCAUUCAUUAAAAAUGUUGCUACGCCACAUGCUUAAAUUGGAUAUAAAUCCAAAAGCAUCUUAAUAAAGCUUUUUCUGCAGAGCAGUUUUGUAAAAUGUACACGUAUCAAAUGUAAACCCUGAAUCCAAUGUAAGUCACUUUGAAUAAAAGCAUCUGCCAAAAGCA